ACUACAUUCGAUGAUAUAGCACAUGAGAAAAGUUCGCAGUUUUCCACCGUCAAUAUUUCUAAAUGACUGAGGAAUUCAAAUGGAAGUGGGCUAUGCCUAUGCCAAUUUUCUUUCAGCCGUGGAAAUUCAGAGAGGUUCAACUCAAAAAAUCUUUGAAAUCCAACCAUUUCCAUGUACAUCUGUUCUAUGGUGUCAUUUAGAUUGCCCGCCCAACGUAAAUCUGAUUCAGAAGAAAAUUUUGAAAACUGUAUUCCCUUUAGAUUUGGUGUGCUCAAACUUCCAGGAGAGAAUAUCAUCAUUUCGGGGCAAUUUUCCACAAUUACUUGUUCCAAAGAUGGGAAUUGAAAGAUGCAAUUUCCUAUACAGAAGCGUGUGAGGCUACGCAAGUCGACG
rnacentral:misc_RNA from 1 species